UACGGAGGGUGCAAGCGUUGUUCGGAAUCAUUGGGCGUAAAGCGCGUGUAGGCGGGGUGGCAUGUCGGUUGUGAAAGCCCCCGGCUCAACCGGGGAAUUGCGUCCGAAACUGCCACUCUUGAGUACGGGAGAGGGAAGCGGAAUUUCCAGUGUAGAGGUGAAAUUCGUAGAUAUUGGAAGGAACACCGGUGGCGAAGGCGGCUUCCUGGACCGAUACUGACGCUGAGACGAGAAAGCGUGGGGGGCAAACAGG
rnacentral:rRNA from 1 species